rnacentral:rRNA from 1 species
UACGUAGGGGGCUAGCGUUGUCCGGAAUCAUUGGGCGUAAAGAGCGUGUAGGCGGCCCGGUAAGUCCGCUGUGAAAGUCGGGGGCUCAACCCUCGAAUGCCGGUGGAUACUGUCGGGCUAGAGUGCGGAAGAGGCGAGUGGAAUUCCUGGUGUAGCGGUGAAAUGCGCAGAUAUCAGGAGGAACACCAAUUGCGAAGGCGGCUCACUGGACCGGAACUGACGCUGAGGCGCGAAAGCGUGGGGAGCAAACAGG